UCUGAUGUCCUGUGUGCAGUCAUCUGCAGGUGGCUGGUGUGGUGGGGGCUGCCAGCCUGACAGAGGAUCUAUGUCAAGGGUAAUGGUUGCUCUGUGUUCUUGGGGUAUCCUGGGGAGAAUGCUCACCUGCCUCCUUUCUAGAACCUUUCACAGGUCUCGGCCCUCCAGGGUGGAGGUGAGAAUGUUGGAAGCAGGUGCCCAUCCAGGGGGCUCUCUGGGGAUCUCUGAAGCUCUGUUCUUCGCUUUCUUCCUUCUGCAGAGCCUAGCUCCAAGGAAAUUCUGACAGUUUAUGAAGACAUCAAGGACCUGCGAACUGGGAGAAAUCAAGAGUCAAGGCUGGAACCAGAGCCGGAGCAGGAGCAGGAGCAGGAUUCCCCUGGAGACAAGAAUACCAUCUACUCCAUGAUCCAGCCCCAGCCUUCUGCUUCUUCAUCACAAGAAACUGACCGUACAUUGUAUUCAGUAAUACAGCCUUCCCGGAAGUCUGGAUCCAAGAAGAGGAACCACAGUUCUUCCACCAAUAAGACCAUCUAUGAAGAGGUUGGAAAGAGACAGUCCAAGACCCAGAACCCUCCUGGACUGAGCCGCAAACAGCUAGAGAGUUUCUACAUUUAUGCCUAGUUGCUGUCACUGUCCUGAUCUCUCACAUGCCAGCAUCUGCAGAACCAGCACAAUGGAUGGUGCAAAUGAAUCUCUACACAACAGUUCCUCAUCUGCAGGGGGUGUGGGAAUUUUGUUUUGAAAGUAAUUUCUAACAGUAUGACAAGUGCAAGCCGGUUAUACAAUAGCUCCAACUUACGGAUUGGACAAGAAGAGAGGUUGGGUCAUUCACGAAAGAACACAUCAACACAUCCGUGUGUCCCAUAAUGAUGUUUCAGUCAAUGAUGGAUGGUGGGUGUGCUGGUGGUCCCGUAAGCUGAUGAUGGCACUGAAAAAUGCCUAUCACCUGGUGAUGUAGCCAUCAACAAAUGGAGUGCAACAUGUUACUCAUGCGUCUGUAGUGACGCUAGUGUAAAUAAACCUACUCAGCUACCAGGCGUAUAAAAGUAUAGUAUUUACAGCUAUGUGCAGUACAUUACACUUGGUGAAGAUAAUAAGCGACUAUGUUACUGCUUUAUUUAUCUACUAUCUUAUAUUUUUUAUUGUUAUUCUAGAGUGUGCUCCUCUACUUAUUAAAAAAGCUUGCUGUAAAAUAGCAUACUGUGUUAUGCAGGCAGCAAUUUUGUAUAUCUUCUUUAUUGAAUCUCUUGAUUGCAACCUUUUUCUCUUGUACUUGGUUUAAUCUUGCAUUGUUUUGUUCAUCAUGGCUCUUCCGGUGAGACAAACUGUGGAGGUAGAAGUCAGUUAUAUGGAUAAUCCUGAACCUGUGUAGGCCUGGGCUGAUGUACAUUUUUGUAUUUUUGUGUUUAUCAAAUAAAUAAAUAAAAUAAAAAGUAAAAUAGAAAAACAGGGGCCAAUAGGUGGCACAGAGGUAAUGUAAUGUUCUGUGAGACUGACUCACGUGAGAAGGUUCCAGAUUCUUAUUUGGAAACCUCCUUGAACAAACUGGAUAUUCAUGUGUCAUGUGCCCAUAAUCUUGGAUUGGCUGAAGGUUGGGUGGAUUGUGUUUUUUUUUGGAGAGAUUUUCACUGUAGGGCGCGUGCACUCGCCAGACAGACAGAGAGAGACAUAGAGACAGAA